rnacentral:lncRNA from 1 species
UCUUUUUCCAGCAAAUCAUCGGGGCCGAACCUGUGAGGUAAAAAAUAAGAUAAAGGAGCAAAUUGCAUGUCUUUAUCGUUACGAUUGUUGAUCGUUUUGUUUUCUUUUUCCUUCUCGGUGGCGGUUAUGAGGAUGUUGACAUCGGGGGCGGCGCGUAGCUCUUGGAGGAACUGGCGACAAUGACCACAAGGGGCGGCGGAGACGGCGAGGAACUUGAGACAUGGUUCCGCAUUGAGGGAAAGGUUGGUGAUUAAGAAUUGCUCGGCGUGGACGGAAUGAUUGAGAGGGAGACCCGGGAAUUCCAGAUUGACUCCGAAAAAGAUCCGACCCGAUGAGCCGACCCCGACG